GACGAACGCUGGCGGCGUGCCUAAUACAUGCAAGUCGAACGCAUUUUCUUUCACCGUAGCUUGCUACACCGAAAGAAAAUGAGUGGCGAACGGGUGAGUAACACGUGGGCAACCUGCCCAUCAGCGGGGGAUAACACUUGGAAACAGGUGCUAAUACCGCAUAAUUCCAUUUACCGCAUGGUAGAGGGAUGAAAGGCGCUUUUGCGUCACUGAUGGAUGGACUCGCGGUGCAUUAGCUAGUUGGUGGGGUAACGGCCUACCAAGGCUGCGAUGCAUAGCCGCACUGAGAGGGUGAUCGGCCACACUGGGACUGAGACACGGCCCAGACUCCUACGGGAGGCAGCAGUAGGGAAUCUUCGGCAAUGGACGGAAGUCUGACCGAGCAACGCCGCGUGAGUGAAGAAGGUUGUCGGAUCGUAAAACUCUGUUGUUAGAGAAGAACAAGGAUGAGAGUGGAAAGUUCAUCCCUUGACGGUAUCUAACCAGAAAGCCACGGCUAACUACGUG
rnacentral:rRNA from 1 species